AAUCAACGCUGGCGGCGUGCCUCAGACAUGCAAGUCGAACGCGAAAGUUCCCUUCGGGGGGCGAGUAGAGUGGCGCACGGGUGAGUAACACGUAGGUAAUCUACCUUUGGGUGGGGAAUAACAGCCGGAAACGGCUGCUAAUACCGCAUAAUGCAGCGGCUCGACAUCGAGACAGUUGUUAAAGCGGGGGAUCGCAAGACCUCGCGCCUAAAGAGGAGCCUGCGGCGGAUUAGCUAGUUGGUGAGGUAACGGCUCACCAAGGUGACGAUCCGUAGCCGGCCUGAGAGGGCGGUCGGCCACACUGACACUGACAUACGGGGUCAGACUCCUACGGGAGGCAGCAGUCGGGAAUUUUUGGGCAAUGGGCGAAAGACCUGACCCAGCAACGCCGCGUGAAGGAUGAAAUCCCUCGGGAUGUAAACUUCGCAAGAAUGGGAAGAAUUAGCGAGCGCUAUACCG
rnacentral:rRNA from 1 species